UGCUGUCGUGUGAUGUAACCAUUCGGAUGUAAAUGAGCUACGGCUCGUAACGUCCGAGAGCGCAUAAAACCGUGUGGAUGUUUCCGUUGCCUUCCUUCUGACUCUUCAAU
rnacentral:snoRNA from 1 species